UACAGAGGUCUCAAGCGUUGUUCGGAUUCAUUGGGCGUAAAGGGUGCGUAGGCGGCGCGGUAAGUCGGGUGUGAAAUCUCGGGGCUUAACUCCGAAACUGCAUUCGAUACUGCCGUGCUUGAGGACUGGAGAGGAGACUGGAAUUUACGGUGUAGCGGUGAAAUGCGUAGAUAUCGUAAGGAAGACCAGUGGCGAAGGCGGGUCUCUGGACAGUUCCUGACGCUGAGGCGCGAAAGCUAGGGUAGCAAACGGG
rnacentral:rRNA from 1 species